UAAAACCUGUAUACCUAUUUUUCUUUUAUCUCCUUGUUCUGACAUUUCUUCCUUUUCUUUUAAUGCUCCAGCAUCAAAGAAGAUGCCUUUUCCCAUCCCCUGAAUAGUUACUUCACUUUAAAUUCUUAUUAAUUACUCUCCCAAAUGUAACGUAUAUCCUCUCUAAAAUUUGUACAGACUUUUUAAUCUUUAUCCACUCCUGAAUAUUCUUUACCCACGAAACCAACAAAUAUCAGUACCUUUCUCCUUCUUCUUCCUUUUUCUUCAAAUUUGCAGGGGUUCUGGUGAUCUUUUAUCGUCCUUUUGAUGUGGGUUUGGAGCAGUUGAGACACAAUCAUCAUAAUCACCUUCAGAUUUUUUUUUAUUUUCUUGUGGACACCUUUAAUUUUGCUUUCUUCUUUUUCAGCAUUAACAUCUAAACUUACUUGUACACUUUAGCAGUGACGAAGAUAACAACAGUAGAAAGCAAUGCCAUAAAAAGGUUAGGAAGUUUUAUUCAGUCAUAAUUCAUUCAUUGUUUAUGCAGUUAUUAUUUGAAAACUAGCAGUUCAAUGCGAUUUGUGUAUUAGUUAUGCAUAUGGCAGUUUUUUGUCGAGAAAUAUACGAAAUUUGGUCUGAUCUUCAAUUUUGUCACAAACAUUUAUGUCGGAUGCUUACUGGACGUGCUUCAACGGCCAGAUACUGACGGCAUCUCUUUCUCAUAUCACCGAAAAAUGCCCUCGGACUUUGAUGGUACUCCCAUGCUCUCUUUGAAGUCAUUAAUCUUUAUCAAUUCAUUCUACGUCGUUGUUUUUUUCAGAAUUAGCAAAAACUAGGUUUACUUCUUUUACUUAGUAGAAAACAUAUAUACGUACUUUCUAAUUUUUACAACAGUUAUUGGGUGUACGAGUCGUCUCAACCCGUUCAUUGUUAGAGAUACAACUAUUAGCUGAUGUUAUCGCUAUGAGUCUAUCAAGAAGCCUAAUUUUAAGAGAAAAAUAUAUAGAAUUCUGAUAGGUAAGUUUAUACUUUAUAGGUUUUUUAAAUAGAUAUCCGGAAAAACUAUUGAUGCUUGAUGAGAUUAUUAACUAGGUGCAAUCCGAUCCACUGCCAAGUUGAGGUUAAAUUACUUAGAUGACAUUAGUUUUAGAGUGUGCAAAAUCGGACUUUGCAAACUUGGUGUUCAAUUUUUUUGGAUAAAUGAUUUUUUAUUUGUUUUGCCCAAAAAAGAGUAAAAUUUAAAAUAUUUUCAACCUUAGUUUUUCAAAUCUUUCAAAAACUCAAAUAUUAGUCAUUAGUUUCAAUUUAAGUUCCAAAUGAUGUGAGUUAAACUUUAGAAAGGUAGCUGAAUUCUGUAUGUGUGCUUCAUGUAGUUUCUAUCAAUGAAGUUAAGUCUGAAUCCAAGAAUGGACUUCAAUAUAGAAUGUCUUCUCUUCAAGGAUUUUCAAUCAGAGCAAACUUAUGGUAUUACUCACGAGUUUUUGGCUAUAAUUGUUCAUGAAUUUUGUGACAACUUCAGAUUAUUCAUUCCAUUGGAUUGUGUCGCAUCAUACUAACAAAAGUAGCUGCAGAGUUUGGAUUCCAGAGUUAUGAAGUGUAUUUAGAGAAAAAUUUAGUUCAUCAGAUCUGUUGAGAAAAACAACAGUCAAAUUAUACUGAAAAACUCUUAGUACAAACCUUAUUCCUAUUCAACUUGAAACAUUCGUUUAGUAGUGACAUAAUGACUUAUUG
rnacentral:lncRNA from 1 species